rnacentral:rRNA from 1 species
GACGAACGCUGGCGGCGUGCCUAAUACAUGCAAGUAGGACGCAGUUGCGAACGGGUGAGUAACGCGUAGGUCUCUACCUAUUAGAGGGGGAUAACUAUUGUAAACGAUAGCUAAUACCGCAUACUAGUAGAUGGACCUGCGUUGUAUUAGCUGGGAGGUAGGGUAAUGGCCUACCUAGGCAACGCUACAUAGCCGACCUGAGGUGGUGGUCGGCCACAAUGGGACUGGGGAACCGCCCAGACCCCUUCCGGAAGCAGCAAGAGGGAAUCUUCGGCCAUGGGGGGAACCCUGACCGGGCAACGCCGCGGGAGUGGAGAAGGUUUUCGGAUCGUAAAGCUCUGUUGUUAAGGGAGCGGUACUUAACCAGAAAGGGACGGCUAACUACGUGCCAGCAGCCGCGGUAAUAC